rnacentral:misc_RNA from 1 species
UCCUGGCGAUGUGGCGCAACUUCAAGGUGUUGGGUAUGCGGACCACCCACUUCCUCUUGGGAUGGCAGACGGCCCUCUGGAUGACCUCAAGCAAGGCCGGCGCCUGGCGCACCUGGACUUUUUCGACGACGAAGGUCUGUCCGGCGAGGUCGAGAUUGUUAGUGAGAAGGACCGCGUGCUCCAGCCCGACGAGACUUAUCUCCAGCUGGCUGCCGAUGGCGUCGAUCGGAACCGCCUCCUGGGCCGCCAUGGCCUCGCACCUCUAUGGAUAGAUGGUGGCUUUCGAUUCGAUUUCGGGUGAAAACGACGUAUUGUAGCUGGGGCCCUUUUGUAGGCCCGACAGUCCUCCUGGAAG